rnacentral:rRNA from 1 species
GGACUGCAACUGACGUUGAGGCUCGAAAGCGUGGGGAGCAAACAGGAUUAAGAUACCCUGGUAGUCCACGCCGUAAACGAUGAUUUACUAGGUGUCGGGGGGUAAGGCCCGCCGGUGCCGCAGCAAACGCAGUAAGUAAUCCACCUGGGGAGUACGUUCGCAAGAAUAAAACUCAAAGGAAUUGACGGGGACCCGCACAAGCGGUGGAGCAUGUGGUUUAAUUCGAAGCAACGCGAAGAACCUUACCCGGCCUUGACAUCCCAAUGGAUGCGGAGCAAUGUCCGCAGCCCUCCGGGGCAUUGGAGACAGGUGGUGCAUGGUUGUCGUCAGCUCGUGUCGUGAGAUGUUGGGUUAAGUCCCGCAACGAGCGCAACCCUUAUCCUUAGUAGCCAGCAGGUAAAGCCGGGCACUCUAGGGAGACUGCCGGGGAUAACCCGGAGGAAGGUGGGGAUGACGUCAAAUCAUCAUGCCCCUUAUGAUUUGGGCUACACACGUGCUACAAUGGCGUAAACAGAGGGAAGCGAACCCGCGAGGGGGAGCAAAUCCCAAAAAUAACGUCCCAGUUCGGAUUGUAGCCUGCAACCCGGCUACAUGAAGCUGGAAUCGCUAGUAAUCGCGGAUCAGAAUGCCGCGGUGAAUACGUUCCCGGGUCUUGUACUCACCGCCCGUCA